ensembl:lncRNA
AUCGGUUUGCGCCUUUCUACAUUUGAAAAUAUGACGGUUAUUAUCGUUCUUUCUGUGAGUGAGGCGGCUGACUGUGAGCUGCUGCUAGUUGUAACUGCUCGGUCGGUCCCGAAUUAUUUUAUAUUUGCCUGUUAAUUUUUUUUUUUUUUUUUUGAGCGAAUUUGAGUCGUGACAUGUCAAUGGAGAACAAAAACCGAAAUGUGAACACAAGAAGUGUCAGAUGUGUUCUGCGAGGUCCUGCAAACAUACUGGCAAAUUGAGAGUCAUCAAGGAUCCAGCUUAUUAUUGUAACAUUGGACAGUACAGAAAGCACACAAGUGGGAGAGAGUGGAGGGGACGGCAUCAGAAAGGACCUAGGGCUGGGACUCUUUCAAGGAUCACCUGAAGCACAACCACACUAUAUGCACGAGGCUGUUGGUUCUAACAUUUUAGGUUCCCCUUCGGUAGAAAUCACAUUCCGCAUUCCCUGCGGUAAAAAAAGACACAGUCCGGGGGGGG